CUCUACUAAAAAUACAAAAAAUUAGCUGGGCGUGGUGGCGGGUGCUUGUCAUCCCAGCUACUCAGGAGGCUGAGGCGGGAGAAUCGCUUGAACCCAGGAGGCAGAGAUUGCAGUGAGCCGAGAUUGCACCACUGCACUCCAGCCUGGGCGAUAUAAGCAAAAUUCCAUCUAAAAAAAAAAAACCUCAUAUUUCAUGAUUCCAUUUAAAGGAAGUGUGUGGAAUUAUCAAAUCUCUAGAGAUAGAAAGUAGAUUAUUGUGUGCCCAGGACUGGAAAGGUUAGGGGUAAAUAGGAGUGACUGGUAAUGAGUAGGGAGUUUUCUUUUCAAGUGUUGGAUUUAUUUUUUGCUUUUGUUUUUGUUUUUGUUUUUUUUUUCGUUGUUGUUAUUUUUUCGUAUAGACAGGGUCUCACUAUGUUGCCCAUGCUGGUCUCGAACUCCUGACCUCAAGCAAUCCUCCCGCCUUGGCCUUGGAAAGUACUGGGAUUACAGAUGUGAGCCACCGCACCUGGCUAAAGUGUGCAAACCUUCGGGAAGGUUUCCCUUGGCCCCCACAGUGCUGGCGUCACAGACAGGAUCCUAAAGCUGCUCUACUUUUCUGGAAGCCACAGUCCAGGGAACCCAGGACCUGACAAAGCAUCAGAAGGCACUUGAGUCCAUGGCUUUGGCAGCCAUAGUGAUCAUGAACUUCCGGCUAUGUCCUAGAGUCAUUUAUCUCCGAGGAUGUCAGGAGGAACCCCAAAAUGUCAUCAAGACACUGGCUACAGGUCUAAACUCCAAUAAAGUCCAGCUGGGUUACAUCAAUUCAGACAUCUGGAUAAAAGGAUGAAUGAAACCAUGUACAUAAUACAGAACUAUGCAUGCCAGGAAAAAAAAUUAUACUGCCUAAAAGCUGCAACCUUCAUGACAUCAAAUGUAUUUUAACACUGGCUGGUUAUGUGAGGAAUAGGCUAAUAAAAAAAAUUCUGGCUGACC